GUUCAUGCCCCAAGCCAUAGGAAAGCCAAUAGGAAGCAGCAGAAAUAGAGUGGUUCAAGCCCUAAGAGAGGAAAGGCAACUGAAAACCAGUUCUGCAGACAUUUCUGUGAACAUAGUCCUCACAGGUCUUGGAGGAAGAGAGGAACCACUGACAUGCCAUGAACAUCUCACGCCUGGUGCUCAGCUCCCACCCAUGUGCUGGGAGUUAUCUCCUUUAACUAGACAGGAAGCAGGUUGGGGCCAUUGAAGGGCUCUGUUGGGUACAGCAGCCUAACUGCAUUCCACCACUGGCACCGUGACAGUACAGUCCUGAAUUAGGCAAUGGAUGGGAAGCAGAAAGGACAAGAUGACACAAAGGCACUCUUCAGAAAGUGCUCAGGUGAUGCAGAUUUUGAUUAUUUCCUAUGUGAUAAUUCUGUCAGAUUUAAACUUUGCCAGUAUGGACAGCAUGAGGAAUUUGCAGCUCCACUCUAAAUCACAGGGAGAAAGGACUAUGAGUUUAACGGAGAAAAGCCUAUCAUGCAAAUAAUAUAGUACACGUGAUGUCACAAUACUGCA